AAAUAAGAAAACUUCACCGAUAAAUCAUAUCCACACGUCUCAAUCGCCCCUGCCAUCAACUGCUUGGGGAGCUUGGCACAGAGAAACAACAAGAAAUGGAGUCUCUGAUUUUGAUUCCACCAAGUAAACACGUUUCCAUCACAAAUUCUUCUGCUUUUUCCUUCCAUUUCUCCUCCCAAUUCUCUUCCAGAAAGCGCGCCAUCAAUUUCCCACAAUUUUGUCCACAGACUCUCCAUAGCAAUGGCCGUUGGCACGCUCAAACAACUUCCAGGUCUUAUAUUCGAAAUGGCCCACCGUAUGGGGAGGAAGAUGAUGAUCCCGAACUAGAGGUUGAAAGCCUCAGGGUUCCCGAUGAGUGGUCGGUUCCUUCAAAGGCAUUAGAGGAAUCAGAGUGGCUUAGGGUUACUUUGCACAAAUGGUUAGAUGACGAGUACUGUCCAGAGGAAACUAAUGUAGAGAUAAGCAAGGUUGCUGCAAAUUCAUACUAUAAUUCUUUGUUAAAGAAAACGACGGACCUAGGCGAAAUUUUGUUGAAUAUGGCAAGAGAAUUGGAAUCUAUUUCCUAUAAGGAAAGUUUUCAUGGAGCAUUCUCUUCUGCCAAUGCAGCAGUGAACUUAAUUGCACAAAGAAUCGAGCUGUCUUAACUGUAUCAACCACUUCAAUUUUGAAAUUGUUUGACCUCAAAUUAUGUCUGAUAAAAGACAGCACUUCAAGGAGUGCUUUCAAGUUUGUGUGUCAAAAACAAAGCUAUUAUUAGACAGGGAAGUGUUAUAAAGGAUAAGCUAGGGAGUCUAUUUGGUCUAUGAUACUUGUAUAGGUUUUUUAAGUCUUUUGGCAAAGUGUGCUACACAUGUGCUCAAAUUGGCAGGAGGAGGAAGACAUGGCCCUUAUUCUCUAGAGUUGUGAGGUUGCGAAUCUGGAAUUACUUCUUUUAGAUGUUUGGCUUCUUGCUGGCCCAACACAGGGAUACCAGUGUUAUGGUAGGGAGUUUCUCCUGCAUCUGCUCGCGAGGGAGCGUUGCGUUUUGUGUCUCAUCCAGAAAAUAAAGAACAAGAGCUGGAGCAAGCAAGUAAAUUUGAAGCAGCGAGCUUAACAUGAUUUGGUAUCAAUUUUGCACUUUACUCGUGCAAAUCUAGAGUGAUUGCUGAACGAACAAAGGAGAAUGAUACAGGCUUAACGACUCAAUGUGCAGGUAUCAACGUUUUUACUACCGGUUGAGGCAGUAGGUUGAGUUAUGAAGUCCGGAACUAAUAUAUUAUAGUAGUAUUAAAUUGUUUACCACCGACUUUCUAAGUGAUAGGUCAAACAUCCUAUUUAGUGUACAAUCAAGUAUCAAAAUUUAAGCUUGGUUCAGGCAUCUUUCAAAGUCCCUAGUGGCAUCUUUUUUUGCACCAGCAGGCUCAUUUAGAAGGAGACAAUUGUGAUUAUGUUCCUGUUGUAUAUUUGUUCUUCUAUUCUACUAUUGAGUUUGGGAUAUUGUCAUCCCAACUCCAACCCUUCUGUAUUGUGGAAUCUCUUUGGUUUCACAGUUCUUUGUUCGGAUUUUAGUGGCUUUGGAUUCAUCA